ensembl:lincRNA
AAAGGGUUUUAUCUCAUUUAAUCCUUCCAACGACCCCAUGUGGUUAGAGAACAGAUUAUUUCCAUUUUCCAGAUAAAGACUCUGAAGAUCAGAUAUACUACGUGAUUUCUCAAAGGUCAUCUGGCAAGGGAGCGUGAGAUUGGAACCUGAGUUUAUCUGAUCGUAUACAUCUCACCAUCUUGGAGGAAGAGAACAUGGCAAGUCCUUUUGUCAUGUGAAAGACCCUUAAGAAUCACUCAUCCUACAGAUGACUUCCUAGAUGGCCUGAUUUGCAAGGCAGAGUUCCAGGUGCUGUUCCAUCUGCACGGGACCCCAGGACAAAGAGCUCUGGCCUGAAGUCUCCCUUCCAAGCCCCUGGCCCAGCUCCUCACUAUGUAUCAUCACCACCACCACCAUCAUCCUCAUCACCACCACCAUCAUCAUCAC